GGGCUCGAGUUUCAGCCACGUAGGACCGGGUAGAACACAGAAAUUCUAGUUUCCUCCCGGGAUGAAAGGCUUCCUAGCACAAACACCACCCCUGGAGUUCCCGGUACAUCAAUACCAGCCUGGGGAUCACGUUCUCAUCAAGAGUUGGAAGAGGGAAAGCUUGAGCCAGCUUAGGAGGACCUUAUCUGGUACUCUUGAUGAACGAAACAGCAAUCUGAAUGGCUGAAAAAGGAUGGACCCAGCAUUCCAGGGAGAAAACUUGGCAUUCUUUGGGAAUCUAACAGGAUGCAGUGAACCCAAGCCUUUUCAAGAGCUCACCAAUCAGACUGCCCUUGUCUAUCCAUGAGCAGAUGUUUGAUAGUAUUGCGGAGGACCUCUAGUGGGUAUGCUGCCAAGCAACUGGAGUGGCACUUGGGCUCUAAUCCAGUUGUCUAUCCCUUUCACCCUGGCAUUUCAUCAGCCAAACAAAAACCAACUAACUCAGAAAAAAAGGAAAUCCCCUCAAGGGUCCUUUGACCCCGAUAUCUACAUAGAUGCUAUCGGGGUCCCCUGAGGGGUACCAAACGAAUUCAAAGCUCGAAAUCAAAUAGCUGCUGGAUUCAAGUCUGUCCUUUUCUUGUGGUCUACUAUAAAUAAAAAUGUAGACUGGAUAAAUUACAUAUACUAUAAUACAACAA
rnacentral:antisense_RNA from 1 species